GCAAGAUAAUGCAUCUUGGACUUAAAAACCCAAGGGCAGAGUACAGAAUAUUUGAUAGAGUCCUAACCUCAACAUCUGAGGAAAGGGAUUUAGGGGUGAUUAUUUCUGAUGACUUAAAGGUAGGCAGACAAUGUAAUAGAGCAGCAGGAAAUGCUAGCAGAAUGCUUGGUUGUAUAGGGAGAGGUAUUAGCAGUAGAAAGAGGGAA